GAAAGUGUUGAUUUGAACAAGAUUUAUAAAUAGUGGAGGUAACGAAGGUUUCUCCGAACUGAGUUUAAACAAUUAUAUCAAAGUCUAACUUCUCCGGAGUUAACUUCAAACAUUGAACACAACUAGGUGAAAUAAAAGAGUGAGUAGAACCGGUAUUUAACACAGUAUAAACUUCACAAGAGUUUAUGACUAACAUACCCGUGAUAAUUUUAUCCAGGUUCCUCGUCACGAAAAAAAAAUGCUCUCUCUUAAACUACCGGCCUUGGCUUGUCUGGGACAUCCUUUGGCA
rnacentral:lncRNA from 1 species